UUUUGUUUUUGAGAGGGAGUCUCACUCUGCUGCUCAGGCUGGAGUGUGCAGUGGCGUGAUCUUGGCUCACUACAACCUCCGCCUCCUGGGUUCAAGCGAUUCCCCUGCCUCAGCUUCCUAAGUAGCUGAGAUUACAGGCGCCCACCAUGCCUGGCUAAAUUUUGUGUUUUUAGUAGAAACGGAGUUUCAUCAUGUUGGCCAGGCUGGUCUCAAACUCCUUGGCCGCCUUGGCCACCCAAAGUGCUGAGAUUACAGGUGUGAGUCACUGCGCCCCGGCCUAUUUUUAAAGGGUCUCUAUCUUUUAAAUAUACAUACUGAAAUAUCUACAGCAAAAAUGAAAAAAUAAACAGCUGAAUUUGAAGUCAGUUAAAAUAACAUCUUAUUUUGUAUGACUAUUCAUGUGCAGUAAAUGAAAGUUAAACAAACAAAAAGUCCCCCCACUUUGAAUCACCUAUGAAAUACAGAAUAUAUGGUCUGUUUAUACAGCCCUGAACACUCAUAUAAAAUUCACUCAGUGAAUCUAACACAGCUGUGUUAGACUCCAGCCCUGAAAGGGAUCAGGAUGUGCACCAGAAGAAGUAAUUGUCUUCAGUUUACUACCAUGUUACACUAAAAAGACAAACAUUUAAAUACUGGGAUCACACCUGGACCAACAAGCUGCUCACCCUACAGAGACUGAGAGAACUCGAAUUCAUGUCUCCCCACCUGCACUUGUGGGCUUUCAGCUGAUCAAGAGGCUGUCAGAACUGUGGGCAUUAUUUCAAUUACUCUCUCUUUCUCUCUCAAUCUCUCCACUUUAAAAAAGUUGCUGAGUAGAGCUGAAUCGACAUAUUUUUCUCCUCCAAGGUGAAGCUGUACUAGGCUUCUACUAGUUGAUAUUUAAGGAUUGAAGACAAUCUCAUCCCAACACAUAGAAAUAUGUGGAAGGCAAGGAGCCUGCCGAGUGCUUCAGGCCACAGAGACCCUCUCUGAUGACGAAGUAGAGCCAUGUCUACCUACAUGCAGCAGCAGAGAGCCCACCAUUCAAUUGUUAUUAUGAUGAUGAUUAUUAUCAUUAUCAUCAUUGUUAUAAGUAUCGCUUACAUAACGUAAUGUGCUAGGUUUUCUCUUUUAUUGUAAAUCUUCUGAGUAAUGCUGUGGGUUGAUUAUUUUACAGGUGAAGAGGCUGAAGCUCAGAGGAAUCAAAUGAUUUUCGAAAGACCACACAGCUAGAAAGUGACAAAACCAAAAUUCAAAUCUAGUUUCCCAGGCCCACCCUUUUCUUUUCUAGCAUGCUGCUACUCCUGGUUGGAAAGAAGGGCUUUAAGGCACAGUUAUUUACCUAGGCCUCUUAGUUUUCUAAAACAUAUAAAUAAAUAAAUAAAUAAAUAAAUAAAUAAAUAAAUAAAUAAAUAAAACUCUGUCAAGUUAUCUAACUGAGAAGCAGAGAAAAACUGCACCCCGUGAUGCCAAGGGGUAGCUUCUGCAAAUCUGCACCUCUGUUUAGUUUUGCUUCCAGCUUCUCUGGCCACCAUUAUGUCUUCCAUCUCGCUAACACGCUUGAGAGAACAGGACAAGACAUGCUUGACUUUUUUGUUUAGAAUGAAAGACGUACAGGUGACCCUAUGCCAAAAACGGGAAAUCUUAACUCCAUCGGGUCAUUCUGGCCACUUAAGAACCAGACUGGAUGUUUCUGAGAGUGAACUAUCAAAGCAUGUGCUCAGCCCAAGGGCCACCAAACAGGGCCCACCAGCAGUGUGCCCUCGAAUUAGAUUCCUUUAAGAACUUGUUAUUUCAACUCCCCAUGCAGGUGUUUAUCGAGUACCUGCAAAGGCAGCCCCCACCCGAAGCUAAACGCACUAGGGACACAAACACUCAAGUCAGAGUUGCAGCCCACAGCUAUGGCCAGGAGACAGAGGAGGGGAGUGAUGGGAGGGAGCGGGGAACAGCUGUCCUCUGUCACAGGAUCUAGCUGCCGUCAAUCCAGGAAGAACUGCACGGGACAGGCAGUGUUAGGCAAGUUAGUAAACAGUUUGCCUCAUAAACACUGACCAGCAGUGGAAAAUAUCUGACCUAGAUAGAUAGUGGACUGUGAGCACCUUAGGGGCAAGGACCACGUCUAAUUUGCUUUUCUGUUCUCAAAAAAGUAGGCCUCAAAUAUUUGUUGUUGUUGUUUUUGAGACAGAGUCUCACUCUGUUGCCCAAGCUAGCGUACAGUGGUGAGAUCUCAGCUCACUGCAACCUCUGCCUCCCAGGUUCAAGCGAUUCUCCUGCCUCAGCCUCCGAGUAGCUGAGAUUAUGGGUGCCCGCCACCACAUGCAGCUAAUUUUUUUUGUAUUUUUAGUAGAGACGGGGUUUCACCAUGUUGGCCAGGCUGGUCUUGAACUCCUGACCUCAGAUGAUCCACCCGCCUUGGCCUCCCAAAGUGCUGGGAUUACAGGCGGGAGCCACCGCGCCCGGCCAUGUUUUAUUUAUUUAUUUAUUUAUUUUUUAAGGUCAUGAUUGUAUUAGUCCAUUCUCACACUUCUGUGUGAGAACUGCCGGAGACUGGGUAAUUUAUAAAGGAAAGAGUUUUAAUUGACUUGCAGUUCCACAUGGCUUGGGAGGCCUCAGGAAACUUACAAUCAUGGUGCAAGGCAAAGGGGAAGCAAGGCACCUUCCUCACAAGGCAGCAGGAGGAAGUACCAAACACUUAAAAUACCAUCAGAUCUUGUGAGAACUCACUCACUAUCAUGAGAACAGCAUGGGGGAAACAGCCCCCAUGAUUCAAUUCCCUCCACCUGGUCUCUCCCUUGACAUAUGGGGAUUACAAUUCAAGAUGAGAUUCUGGGUGGGACACAGCCAAACCAUAUCAAUGGUCAUGUACUACAUUUAGAAUUUUGGAAGGUAUUUAUGGCGGGAUACUGAAACUGUUUUCACGUACCACAGCAGAGUCUGAAGGGCUCAGUUUGAAGAACUGGAUUCCCAACCUCAGGAUCGAUUUGGCCAUAUGGGAGGUCAGCUGGAGAUGAGGGAGACUGAAAAUUGGAGAUAACCCCAGAGAUGACGGGCAGGUUACCCUCUGUCCUCAGAUGGGAGGGGAGGUGGCUGGGGAAAGGAUUCCAACUCUGAGUUCUAUUGUGGGAAGGUGAGCAGAGUCAAGCUCUGUGGCUCAGUGGAACUUAUUCCUGCCCACAAGCUCAACAUCUCCACCUCUGCCCCCAGCAGUGGAGUUAUGACAGCAAAGGAGACAAGGUGAAUAGGGAUCACCCCAGAGGAUCAGUAUGGGAUGAGGCCAGCCGGUGAAUCACCCACGCUCCCAAGGAACCCACGCCACAGGAACACACACCUCCAGGUUUCUCCCAUCUCCGUAAGAUCUUGAGGACCUUCAACAGCACUUCAGCAAAAAACAUUUUCAGGUUUCCUCAGAACUCAGAUAACGUGUCACUCUAGUCACCCUGAAGAUUUGCCUCUUGAAAACAUAAUCGCCGUGCAGUAAAGAGGAGACCAAAAUAGAACCACAUACAGCUGCCGAAAAGUGCUGAAGAAUAUGGCGCUAAGGAGAGAAAGACACCACUAGCCAAAGGCAAGUGGAUCAAAAAGCAACCCCCUACAUUGGACAUUCUUGUUAUUUUGUUGUGGUGGUGGUGGUGGUGGUGGUGGUCAUUGUUGCUGUUGUUGAUACAGGGACCUGUCUAAAUUCUAUAGUAUUUAAUACUGUAUUCAACAAAUAUUUACUGUUGAAUAUUUAUUGAAUACAAUAUUCAACACUAUGUGCCAGGCAUGAUAGAGGCCUGGACUGAGUAGCGACUCUUUGGUAUGAACCAGAUAUAACUUGCACGAUGUUUCACAAGCUGGUUUGGAUGUUAUUAGCUUAGUGUGUCAUUUACCCCAUCCCUACUCACACCCGAAACAUGAUAUUUUGUGGAGCUAAAAAAAAAUACCUCAAACAAAUCACUUCCUCAAACGGCAACCUAAUCUCUGCUUCCUUAUGGCGGGGUCUCUUGACUUGCUUACACUUCCCCACUUUCUACUGGUUCCUCAAAUAACUGAAGUCGGUUCACAUCAUUCCACUGAAACUGCCUUUCUAAUUGCAAAAUCUAAAGAGUCCUUUCCAAUACUUAUUUCAAACAGGCGUCUCUGGGUCUUUUUCAAACUCCCUCCCACUAAUGCCUUUCAGGCAUCCUCCCCAGCUUAGCCUCCCCUGGGACCAGCUUCCUGCCAGUCCUGAAAUGCCCACAUACACGGGGAAGAUUCCUGCUUCCACAUGACCAGCCCCCAGUGACAUCUCCCUCAGACUCCAGACCUCGUCUUUUUUUCUUUUUCUUUUUUCUUUUUUUUUUUUUGAGACAGGGUCUCACUCUGCCACCCAGGCUGGAGCGCAGUGGCGCAAUCUCGGCUCACUGCAACGUCCACCUCUGAGGCUCAAGCAAUCGUCCCUCCUCAGCUUCCUGAGUAGCUGGGACUAUAGGCAUGCUCCACCAGGACCAGCUAAUUUUUUUUUUUUUUUUUUACUUUUUGAAGAGACGGGGUUUCGCCAUGUUUCCCAGGCUAAUCUCGAACUUCUGAGCUCAAGAUGCACCCACCUUGACUUCCCAAAGUGCUGGGAGUGCCUAGCCUCAGAUCAUAUCCUUUCAAAAACUUUUAGAGACCUGCACAAAAGCUUUAUAUUCUACGCUUACUCACUUUAAAAAAAAAUGUAUUAAACAUUUGCUAAGUGCUAAGUAUAAUUCUUAGUGCAUAGGAUACUACAGUGAAUAACCCAGAUGAAGAUCAACACCCUUAGAGUUUUACAUACUAGCAGAGGGAGACACUAAGAGCCGUAAAUAUAACAAAUUAAAAAAAUUAUUUGGUAUCUUAAAAGAUGCUAAGUGCUUAGAGAACAAAGUAGAGUACAAGAAAGGGGGGAUAGGGCCAGGCUCAGUGGCUCACGUCUGCAAUCCCAACACUUUGGGAGGCUGAGGUGGGCGGAUCACUUGAGGUCAGGAGUUCGAGACCAGCCUGACCAACAAGGUGAAACCCUAUCUCUACUAAAAAUACAAAAAUUAGCCAUGUGUCAUGGUGGGCACCUGUAAUCCCAGCUGCUCAGGAGGCUGAGGCAGGAGAAUCACUUGAAUCCAGGAGGUGGAGGUUGCAGUGAGCCGAGAACGUGCCACUGCACUUCAGCCUGGGUGACAGAGCGAGACCCUAUCUCAGAAAGAAAGAAAAGAGAGAGACAGAGAAAGAGAGAAAGAAAGGACGGAAGGAAGGACGGAAGGAAGGAAGGAAGGAAGGAGGGAGGGAGGGAGGGAGGGAAGGAAGGAAGGAAGGAAGGAUGGAAGGAAGGAAGGAAGGGAGGAAGGGAAGGAAGGAAGGAGGGAGGGAGGGAGGGAGGGAGGGAAGGAAGGAAGGAAGGGAGGAAGGGAAGGAAAGAAAGGGGAGAUCGGAAGUACUGGGUUGAGGUAGGUUUCCAUUUUCCAAAGGGCAGUCAGAGGAGAACUCACUGAGAAGGGGACAUUUGAACAAAGAGUUGCAGAUAGUGGAGGAAUGAGUCCCACAAUAUCUGGGGAAGCGUGUUUGCGGCAAGGCUCAAGGCAGGAGUGCACUGGUGUGCACUGGUUGGAAGGAAAGGAUCAAGGAAGAGGGUACAUGGAGACGGGGUCCGGGAGGAACAAACAACGAUGUCGGGGAGGUGGAGGAGUCUGGGCAGGGCCUUUGAGGUCUUGGCAAGAACUCUGGCUUUUAGCAAAUAAAAUAGGAGCUGCUGCAGGAGGCUGAGCAGAGGAACAACCAGAUCUGACUUAAUAUGCCAGAAUUGCUCAGGCUGCCAUGUGGGAACAGGAAUAGGGGGCAGGGAUAGUAGUAAGGAGACAGCAGCAGUCCCAGUGAGCGAUGCUCAUGGCUUAGACCAGCUGGUUGCAGUGGAGGCAGAGAAGUGGGUAUAUUUUAGACGUGCUUUGAAAAUCAUGCCCGAUAUUUUAGAUGUGAGUGUGAGAGAGAGAAGAGUCAAGGAUGAUUCCAAGGGUUGGAGCCCAAGCAACUAGACGGAUGGUGCUACUUUAAUGGAAAAAGAGGAGACAAAGGAAGAGCAGACCUGGGGGCAGAGGAAAUCUGGAGUUCAGCUUUGGAUAUUCUGAGUUUGAGAUGAGACUGUCAAACAGAGCGUAAAGUAGGAAGCCUGAUAGGAAAGUCUAGAGGUCAGGGAGAAGGUGUGAGCUGGAGAUCCAUAUUUGGGAGUUAUCAGCAUGAGAGCUUUUCGGAUGUUCUUGAUCAGCUAGUGGAAUUUUUCUCCACCCAGCUGCAUGACUGUUUACUCUGGAGCAAGGAUUCCUGGGCGUAAACCUAACUCCUCCACUCCUCAAAGGUCUGAUCUUGGACAGGCUACUCAACUGCUCUCAGUGUCUGUAUCCCCAAAAGUGCCUACUUCUUUUAUUAUGAGGAAAAAAUGAGGCAAUUCGUGUUAAUUACCUUGCACAUAGUAAUAAGCACUCCCUAUAUAAUAACCAUUAUAAUCCCCUCCCUUCCUCUCUCCACCUCUUACUACCUUGCUAAGCUUGGUAUCUUCAACUUCCCUUUUUUCUCACCUCAUAUUCAACUCAUCCCUCACCCUGAGUGCCCCUGGAUCACUGUCCACGCCAGUGCCUCACUGCCCCUAGAGCAAUCCUAUAAACAGUGUUGAUUCCAACUGAAUAGGUCGCAAGCUUCUAUUUUCUACUCUCAGAAUAUUUCUUAAAUCUGCCUCCCUCUCUUUGUUUUCUCAUUAUUUCCCAUCUGAGUUCCCAAUAAGUUUUACUUAAAUCUCAAUUAUAUUCUAAUCAAAUUAAAAUGUCAUUUUAAUGUGCCUA